rnacentral:lncRNA from 10 species
GUAAAAAGUGAUACUGUGAUAUAUGUAUACAAUGUAGCAUGAUUGAAUCAAGCUAAUUAACAUAUCCAUUAUUUCAAAUACUUAGCAUUUCCACUGUGCCUACACUGCAGAUUGGUUGAAUGUACACGUACCACCCAUUUUUAUUCUUUUUUGUUCAACAUUUACAGGCCUGCUUCCACCGAGGGACUGAAGGCUCCUUGAGCAAAAUUAUCUACCUGUUCACCUUUGAAUCUUUCACAGUUCCCAGGUGUCUUACUGGAAGGCUGUGGGCCGAUGCCAGGUGACAUGAUAGACAAUUACUGGACUAAUUUGCAAAGCGAAUUUCUGAAGUCACAUUUUUUGCUUCACAUGGAUUCCAUCUUCACAGAGAAGGUAGCAUUUGAUUGACAUUUUGUUUCUUGUUUACAGUUUGUUUCUGGCAUCAGUUAACUGCAAAAUUACUCAACCUCUCAGGAGUUUUUCUGAUGCGAAAUUAACCAAUUGCGCAAAAUUUUGUCUAAGUCACUUUCCAACAUGAAUGCUUUAGGAAUGCUUGAAAUUUUAAUAAGAUAGGCACAUGAAACCACCACAAAUUCCAACCAGCAUAUCAGAUGUUAUUAAAAUGAAUUGUUAAGAACAACUAAUCUCAGGAAAUGUGUUGAUGUAGUUAUCUCACUUAAUAGAAAUAUGCG